rnacentral:ncRNA from 2 species
AGAAGAUUGGGGAAUGAAGUGCUCCCCCGGGCAACCGAAACCGCUUUUGUAAGCUGAUGACUUCUGUGAUUUU